AAGUGUUAUGGAUACAGGUAUACAUAUGUGUGUGCCUACUGUAUACAGGUACACAUUUAUACACGCACCCCAUCAUUUUGAGUUGCAAAUGAUCAUGGAACCAACAUUUUAUAUUCAUCAGUAAUAGAUUUGGGAUAGAAACACUGAUUCCACUGAAGAAGGUGUUACUUAGAAUAGAAAAUUCAGUAGGGUCACCUCCUGUGGUGGGAAUUACUGGGUGAAAUUCCACAGCCUGUGACAGACAGCUGGUGAGAUCAGAAGAUCAGAAAGUUUCCUUCCAGAUUUAGAAUUAACCAGUCUGUGAAGGUGUUCCACAAAAGUGGAAAGCAUCCAAUUGACAUUUAUUGACAUGAACACCAGCAUACUUAAUUUACUUAAGGAAGAGGUAGAGAAGAGGAUAUGUAACACCAGGGGUGCAGCUAAGACAAGGGGAUGGACUCACAGCUGGAAUAAACUGACAGGGCAUGCUCGUAUUUUCACUUGCGCCCAGGUGAAACUGGGCCCUUCUUUUCAGUAUCAUUUCCACUAAUAGGGUGAGCUGAAACCAGUAACAGCCCACAAGUGGCAUAAUGGAGCAGGCAGAGAGGGGAAGGGCCCUUCUUUUUAUCUGGGGUUUUCCAGAGAAGAGAGGUUGUUAUGCAUGUGGCCUUUGAUUUGCAAUUGCUUGAGAAGACAUAAUAAAUUAAUAUCUUUGGAAAGGCUAAAUGUUUAUCAAGUAUAAAUUGCCAGCUGACAAUUUGUACCAGCUGAGGCUCAUAUUGUUUAUUCAAGUUGUUUUCUAAUCCUUUUAUGAUUGGGAGAGGCAGCCACCACAGAAAACGCCAACUGGAGAACAAGAAAGAAUGAUGGCCAAUGAACUAAAGGCUACAACUCACAUAACUGCAGUAACUAGAGCAAAGUGACUUAUAACUUGCCUUAGGGAUACAGAUGUAAUUUUACACUUUUAUUAUAUUUUUAAGGCCUUUUAACAUUGGUGUAUUUCACCUGUUUUUCCCCCAAAGCCAGUAUAUGAGUGAGAGAUCUGACCUGCCACAUAUAGCUUUUUAGAUGCCAUGAAGUCUGUGCCAAGUAAGAAGUUGGUGGCCUGUCUGCUCCCAGUCCUGCAGCUACGUAACUCUUCCCUGCUUACUAUUAUUUUCCUGGAAGUGUAUUUUUGAGUUGGGGCUCUUGCCCACUCUUCUACCACAAGGAGCAAUCCUCUGCCAAUAAUGUUAAGGAGUUUUUACUUAGAAUAACAGAAUGAAUGCUGCACAGCAAUCUUUGUCAUUUGUGCUUUUCUCUCAAACAUCCACUGAUGGGGAGUGGGGGAGGAGGGAAACCAAGGAGGAAGAGUGAAAAGGAAAAAAAUGACCAAAGAAAGCAACAUGAUGAAAUCCCAUUUCUUUGUUAUUUUCUCCUAAUCAAAUCCAAAUCAAGUAGCUGACUGGAUAACCUCACCUAUUUUCCUCCUCUCUUCAGAGAAAAUUGUGCAUGUUAUUCUUCAGUGUAUGAUGAGGCAAUUAAAAUAAACAGUUCACAUACUCUGAAUUUUUUUACACACAAGCAUGGAGUGUCACAAGUGUGCACUCAGACACAUUCAUGCACCAUCUUGAUGGCUAAAGUAUGCCUCAGAAUUAUAAUUUAGUUCUACAGUUUCUCCAUGAUACAAAUAUGUAGUUUAGGGGCUAAGUUUUCUUAGGAGAUGAGUUUUUCUCACAAAAAUAAAAAAAAGAGGAGGAAAAGUCUGGCUAUUCUGCUUUAUGUCUUCUGGCGCUAUAUAUGCACAUGCCUGUCUGUCCACCAGUCUCGCUAUCAAGCCACAGCCUGGCUGCAGGACUGUCAAUUUUUUUGCAGAAAUAUUCCCAUGUGAUAAGCUUGCACAGGCAGCAGGGUGGUCUGAUCUCACCUGAAGUUCACAGCACAGCAGCCAUAUACUGUUUAUAUGAAAUAACAGUAAGAUUAUAGCAAAGAUGAGAGCCGGUUUUCCCUUGACUAUUAAUUGAGCAAGCCAGGUGUUUUAAUCCCAUUCCCAGUGUAUUUCUAAGUAGAACAUAUUGCUUGUCAGCUACUAAAUACUUUAAUGGUGUACUCUCAUACCUCAAUAGCAGCCAGUCCAAAGGCGAUCCCCAUAAUUAUGACCAGAUGGUCUUUAAGGUAUUUGAUAAUCACUUCUCCACAAGGCUGAAAAUAAGACAAAAUGAUUAAUUACAGAUAAGCAAUAUUAUCCUAAUAUUAUCCUAAUACUAGGAGUGUAUCUGCUAAAAUAACUCACCCAUGCUUUCUCCCUUUAAUUCUGUGUUAAAGAAAGGUUAUUUGAAUUUACUUUGGCUUGUUGCUAAUGAACACAAAAUCACAGCUAUGUGUACCUGUCAUGGUUUGAGAUGAUCCCCCCAGGAAUUGGGGGCUCUGAGGUGAUUGGGUGCCAGGGCAGUGUUCCCUGGAGAGCCAAUCACCACUUGUCGUGUUCGCUUCUGCUAAAAAUCAUAUAUACACAGCCACCAGAAGCUGCUGGCAGGUUUUUUCUGUUGGUGUCUGCUGUGUGUAGGUGUAGAAGGCCAGGGGGUGGCUGGGCUCCUUCUUCCCCCUCUGGGGGGGAGGGGAGCCCUGCGGCCCCCCAACUCUACCUAGGCCAGAGUUACAAACAACAUUUAGAGUGAGUGUUUAUGAGGGAUGUGACUCACAGCACCUGAGGUAAGAGGAGAGAGGCAGGCCUUGCAGCUAAGCCCUCUUCCGCCCCCUUUCUGCAGUUAAGCUGUGGAGGGGGACCUUUUCUUUCCCUCCACUGUAAAGUGGAGGAGAGGCUCAGCUUUUGAAGCAGAGCCGAGUGGACAGGCUGAUAAUGAAGCAGCUCGGCGCUAGGGAGAAGAAUCCCAGGCGAAAUUGGAGACGGGCCAAAAGAGCUCGGGAGUUGCCCUGCCAAAGCUGACCGGGGCAGCCAAAAACUGACUUGGAGGAAUGAAGAUUCCAAACGCCUACUGUGAUAAGCUACACUACAGCAACAGUGAACCGAGGUACGAGACUGAGAGAGAGAGAAUGACACAGCAGAGACUGACAUGGGACCGAGGAGAAAGGACUCAAAGCUACCUUCUUGGACUUCGUGAGGAGAAAGGACUUCAGCAACCAGCUGGAGAUCACAAGAGUUGGAUGUCUCUACUAGCAUCUCACACAACUAUGAAAUCUUUGAGUUCACGUGAGCAACAUCUUGCACCUGCCGAAUUUCAUUGAUGGCUUCUCGUGUGUCCUUUGAGGGUUUGCCCAAGGCCAAAAUGUGGCCAAAACAGCCUCUCUAUAAAUAUCUUGUUUCUAGAUUGGGUUCUGGCAUCCUCUACUUAACCAGACUGUUCCUUUGCUUUAAAAGAGUGUUUCCUUCUGUGGGACUACACAGGGAGGAAAUUACUGUUUGGGCAGAACUUGACUAGAGAGCUGUGCAUUUACAGAAGUGUACAACCAGAAUGGACAUCAGCUAAUAUCUGCUUUAUGGAAGGUGCACACUGGCAAACUUUGCACCACUAGCAUCCUAAAAAUUAAAUUAUUCUGUGGACUUUUUUUUCUUUUUUUUUUUUUUUUUUUUUUACAUAUGCGUAGAGCCCGAAUUUCCUUGUAAGGAGACAGGUAAACCUUGAAAUUAACUAGUUGAGAUCUUUACUGUCCAUCUACCAAUUUUUGAGUAUUCUUUCUUGUUGCCUGUCAUCAGAUAUUUGUCUUAUUAAUUGUUACAAAGUUUUCAAAAGGCUAUAGUUGUAGGAAAUCACAUUUUAAAUAUGUUGCCAUGAAGCCUAUAACAUGUAAGGUUUCUUCCCAGCAGAUCCUGCUAAAUGAAUGUGGGGUUUUUUAUUAAAGGAUUAUAGAACUCCAAA